rnacentral:sRNA from 1 species
AUGUAAUAUUAUAUUAAAUUAAAAAAAUAUUUAUGGUCUCUUUGAUAAGGAUAAGACCACGAUGAAUUUUAAAAACUAAAAGCUGAAUAUAUACAUAUAUACAUACAUGUAUAUGUAUAUAAUACAUACAUAUAUAUAUAUAUAUAUAUAUAUAUAUAUAUAUAUAUUUUUGUAAGCUUAUAUGUUAUUUACUUUCAUAUUUAACAUACAUUUACUGAUAUCAUAAGAAUUUUGUAAUUACAAAGGCUAUUGUUUGAAAGGAUUAUAAAAAGAUUAACAACUCCAAAGCAAUGAAGUUAUAAUUUUUUAAUAUAGGAAGAUUAUUAUUAUUUUAUGAAUAUAACAAAGAGUCAUAUAUUAUAUGAAUUGAGGAUGUAUUCAAAUAUUUUAUUUUUUAACAGUGAACAUUUUGUGUAAAUGUGAUUAAAUGUUAAUGUUUUUAGAGUUAUGAGUUAAGGUUGAACAGUUGUAGAAUUGUGAGUAUAGAUUAAAUUUUUUUUGACUGAGAUAAAUUAUAACUAGUGUAUCUAAUUUUUUUUUAUUAAAGUUAAUUGUAUAAUGCAUAUAAUUAGAUUGUUGUAAUUAUUAAACGUUGGAUGUAGUGUUGUAGUAGUUUAUAUAUAUUAAUUAUAUUUUGUAGCACACUUAAAUUAAUAUAUAUUUUAAAGGAUUAUUCAUGGAAGGUACACUACAAUUUUAAUGUUAUAUAAAUUAAGAUAAUCAUAAAUUAAAUUUUAAAUAGUAUUAUGUUUAAAAUUAUACACAUUAGGAUUUUUAUUAAUUUGUUUAAAAAAAUAAAAAAUGUUUUACGUUAUAUAAUAUGAUAAAUAAACAAAGAAAAAAAAAAAAA